rnacentral:rRNA from 1 species
CCGCUGGGAUCCCUUCGGGGUGACCUUGGCGCUGACGAGUGGCGGACGGGUGAGUAAUGCGUAGGAAUUUACCUCAAAGCGGGGGAUCUUCGGGCCUUGCGCUAUCAGAUGAGUCUGCGUCGGAUUAGCUUGUUGGUGAGGUAAUGGCUCACCAAGGCGACGAUCCGUAGCUGGUCUGAGAGGAUGAUCAGCCACACUGGGACUGAGACACGGCCCAG